UGAAAUGGGAUGAGAUGCAGAUGGGAUAGGAUAUGGAUGGGGUACAAGUGGGACAAGAUGAGGUGGGACACAGAUGGGAUGGGAUGAAAUGGGAUGAGAUACAGAUGGGAUGUUACGAAAUGGGAUGGAGUAGAUGGGGUAGGAUAUGGAUGAGAUAUAGGUGGGACAGGAUACAGGUGGGACAAGAUGGAAUGAGAUACAGAAGGGAUGGGAUGAAAUGUGAUGAGAUACAGAUGGGAUGGGAUGAAAUGGGAUGAAGUACAUGGGAUAAGAUAUGGACGGGAUGCAGAUGGGACAGGAUACAGGUGGGACAAGAUGGGGUGAGGUA